rnacentral:rRNA from 1 species
UUGAACGCUGGCGGCAGGCCUAACACAUGCAAGUCGAACGGCAGCACAGAAGAGUUUGCUCUUUGGGUGGCGAGUGGCGGACGGGUGAGUAAUGUCUGGGAAACUGCCCGAUGGAGGGGGAUAACUACUGGAAACGGUAGCUAAUACCGCAUAACGUCGCAAGACCAAAGUGGGGGACCUUCGGGCCUCACACCAUCGGAUGUGCCCAGAUGGGAUUAGCUAGUAGGUGGGGUAAUGGCUCACCUAGGCGACGAUCCCUAGCUGGUCUGAGAGGAUGACCAGCCACACUGGAACUGAGACACGGUCCAGACUCCUACGGGAGGCAGCAGUGGGGAAUAUUGCACAAUGGGCGCAAGCCUGAUGCAGCCAUGCCGCGUGUAUGAAGAAGGCCUUCGGGUUGUAAAGUACUUUCAGCGGGGAGGAAGGCGGUGAGGUUAAUAACCUUGCCGAUUGACGUUACCCGCAGAAGAAGCACCGGCUAACUCCGUGCCAGCAGCCGCGGUAAUACGGAGGGUGCAAGCGUUAAUCGGAAUUACUGGGCGUAAAGCGCACGCAGGCGGUCUGUUAAGUCAGAUGUGAAAUCCCCGGGGCUUUAACCUGGGAACUGCAUUUGAAACUGGCAGGCUUGAGUCUCGUAGAGGGGGGUAGAAUUUCCAGGUGUAGCGGUGAAAUGCGUAGAGAUCUGGAGGAAUACCGGUGGCGAAGGCGGCCCCCUGGACGAAGACUGACGCUCAGGUGCGAAAGCGUGGGGAGCAAACAGGAUUAGAUACCCUGGUAGUCCACGCCGUAAACGAUGUCGACUUGGAGGUUGUGCCCUUGAGGCGUGGCUUCCGGAGCUAACGCGUUAAGUCGACCGCCUGGGGAGUACGGCCGCAAGGUUAAAACUCAAAUGAAUUGACGGGGGCCCGCACAAGCGGUGGAGCAUGUGGUUUAAUUCGAUGCAACGCGAAGAACCUUACCUGGCCUUGACAUCCAGAGAACUUAGCAGAGAUGCUUUGGUGCCUUCGGGAACUCUGAGACAGGUGCUGCAUGGCUGUCGUCAGCUCGUGUUGUGAAAUGUUGGGUUAAGUCCCGCAACGAGCGCAACCCUUAUCCUUUGUUGCCAGCGGUUCGGCCGGGAACUCAAAGGAGACUGCCGGUGAUAAACCGGAGGAAGGUGGGGAUGACGUCAAGUCAUCAUGGCCCUUACGGCCAGGGCUACACACGUGCUACAAUGGCGCAUACAAAGAGAAGCGACCUCGCGAGAGCAAGCGGACCUCAUAAAGUGCGUCGUAGUCCGGAUUGGAGUCUGCAACUCGACUCCAUGAAGUCGGAAUCGCUAGUAAUCGUAGAUCAGAAUGCUACGGUGAAUACGUUCCCGGGCCUUGUACACACCGC